rnacentral:rRNA from 1 species
UACAGGGGGGGCAAGCGUUGUCCGGAAUUAUUGGGCGUAAAGCGCGCGCAGGCGGUCCUUUAAGUCUGAUGUGAAAGCCCACGGCUCAACCGUGGAGGGUCAUUGGAAACUGGGGGACUUGAGUACAGAAGAGGAAAGCGGAAUUCCACGUGUAGCGGUGAAAUGCGUAGAGAUGUGGAGGAACACCAGUGGCGAAGGCGGCUUUCUGGUCUGUAACUGACGCUGAGGCGCGAAAGCGUGGGGAGCAAACAGG